rnacentral:rRNA from 1 species
CCCUCUGGGUGCAGCAGGCGGAAUGAUACGUCAGUGGUGAAAUUCACCGGCUCACCUGUUGACCUGCCAUUGAUACUGUCAAUCUAGAGUAUAGUUGGAGUGGGCGGAAUGUGUCAUGUAGCGGUGAAAUGCUUAGAUAUGACACAGAACACCGAUCGCGAAGGCAGCUCACUAAGCUAAAACUGACGCUCAUGCACGAAAGCGUGGGGAUCAAACA